AUUGAACGCUGGCGGCAGGCUUAACACAUGCAAGUCGAGCGGGGGGAGGUAGCUUGCUACCGGACCUAGCGGCGGACGGGUGAGUAAUGCUUAGGAAUCUGCCUAUUAGUGGGGGACAACAUCUCGAAAGGGAUGCUAAUACCGCAUACGUCCUACGGGAGAAAGCAGGGGAUCUUCGGACCUUGCGCGAAUAGAUGAGCCUAAGUCGGAUUAGCUAGUUGGUGGGGUAAAGGCCUACCAAGGCGACGAUCUGUAGCGGGUCUGAGAGGCUGAUCCGCCACACUGGGACUGCGCCACGGCCCAGACUCCUACGGGAGGCAGCAGUGGGGAAUAUUGGACAAUGGGGGGAACCCUGAUCCAGCCAUGCCGCGUGUGUGAAGAAGGCCUUAUGGUUGUAAAGCACUUUAAGCGAGGAGGAGGCUACUUUAGUUAAUACCUAGAGAUAGUGGACGUUACUCGCAGAAUAAGCACCGGCUAACUCUGUGCCAGCCGCCGCAGUAA
rnacentral:rRNA from 1 species